rfam:Oceanicaulis sp. HLTCCA04 ITZX_scaf_56, whole genome shotgun sequence.
GAUCAAGCGCAAUAAGGGCGUUUGGUGGAUGCCUUGGCGGUAAGAGGCGAUGAAGGACGUGGCACGCUGCGUUAAGUCCCGGGGAGUUGCGAGCAAACUUUGAUCCGGGAAUAUCCGAAUGGGGAAACCCACCUUUACAGACCCUGGCGGUCGCUCGUCCGAGUAAUCGGACGAUCGGUCACCAGAGUUUGUGAGAGGUAUCUAAACCUGAAUACAUAGGGUUUUAGAAGCGAACCCGGGGAACUGAAACAUCUCAGUACCUGGAGGAAAGGACAUCAAUUGAGACUCCCUCAGUAGCGGCGAGCGAACGGGGACCAGGCCAACGUCUCUCUCUGCAUCAGCGGAACAGUCUGGAAAGGCUGGCCAUAGUGGGUGAUAGCCCCGUACGUUAAAAUAAAGAGAGAGAAUUCGAGUAGGGCGGGACACGUGAAAUCCUGUCUGAACAUGGGGGGACCACCCUCCAAGCCUAAGUACUCCUUACCGACCGAUAGCGAACCAGUACCGUGAGGGAAAGGUGAAAAGCACCCCAAUGAGGGGAGUGAAACAGACCCUGAAACCGGACGCCUACAAGCAGUUGGAGCCCCCUUGCGGGGUGACAGCGUACCUUUUGUAUAAUGGGUCAGCGACUUAGUCUCUCGAGCAAGCUUAAGCCGAUAGGUGUAGGCGUAGCGAAAGCGAGUCUGAAUAGGGCGAUUUAGUUCGAGGGAUUAGACCCGAAACCGAGUGAUCUAGCCAUGUGCAGGCUGAAGGUGAGGUAACACUCACUGGAGGGCCGAACCCACGUCUGUUGAAAAAGACGGGGAUGACGUGUGGCUAGGGGUGAAAGGCCAAUCAAACUCGGAAAUAGCUGGUUCUCCGCGAAAUCUAUUUAGGUAGAGCGUCGUGUAUUACCCUCGGGGGUAGAGCACUGGAUGGGCUAGGGGGCCUCACCGGCUUACCAAACCUAACCAAACUCCGAAUACCGGGGAGUACAGCACGGCAGACACACUACGGGUGCUAAGGUCCGUAGUGGAGAGGGAAACAGCCCUGACCGCCAGCUAAGGUCCCAAAGUCAUGGCUAAGUGGGAAACGAUGUGGGAAUGCUUAGACAACCAGGAGGUUGGCUUAGAAGCAGCCAUCCUUUAAAGAAAGCGUAACAGCUCACUGGUCAAGCGUUCCUGCGCGGAAAAUGUAACGGGGCUUAAGCCAUGCACCGAAGCUGCGGACUCGAAAGAGUGGUAGCGGAGCGUUCUGUAGGCCUGUGAAGGGUUGCCGCAAGGUUGCCUGGAGGUAUCAGAAGUGAGAAUGCUGACAUGAGUAGCGAUAAAGGGAGUGAGAGACUCCCUCGCCGAAAGUCCAAGGGUUCCUGCGCAAUGCUAAUCAGCGCAGGGUAAGCCGGCCCCUAAGGCGAGGCCGAAAGGCGUAGUCGAUGGGAAUCAGGUUAAUAUUCCUGAGCCAGCGGAUAGUGACGGAUACUGGAAAUUGUCUACCCUUAUUGGAUUGGGUGGGCAGUGAAGGUGUUCCUGGAAAUAGCUUCCGCAUUGAGACCGUACCCCAAACCGACACAGGUGGACUGGUAGAGCAUACCAAGGCGCUUGAGAGAACUCUGUUGAAGGAACUCGGCAAAUUACUCCCGUAAGUUCGCGAGAAGGGAGCCUGGCGCUGCGCAAGCAGUGUCCAGGGGCACAGACCAGGGGGUGGCGACUGUUUACUAAAAACACAGGGCUCUGCGAAGUCGCAAGACGACGUAUAGGGUCUGACGCCUGCCCGGUGCCGGAA